ensembl:snRNA U2 U2 spliceosomal RNA
AUCGCUUCUCAGCCUUUUGGCUAAGAUCAAGUGUAAAGUUUAACAUUAGUGUUAGCUUUUUCUUUUUUUUUAAGUUAUUUAUUUAUAAAUAGAGAGAGAAACCAUGUGAGUGGGGGAGGGGCAGAAAGAGAGAGAGAAUCCCAA